rnacentral:rRNA from 1 species
UACGUAGGGUGCGAGCGUUGUCCGGAAUUAUUGGGCGUAAAGAGCUCGUAGGCGGUUUGUCGCGUCUGCUGUGAAAACCUAAGGCUCAACCUUGGGCUUGCAGUGGGUACGGGCAGACUAGAGUGCGGUAGGGGGUGACUGGAAUUCCUGGUGUAGCGGUGGAAUGCGCAGAUAUCAGGAGGAACACCGAUGGCGAAGGCAGGUCACUGGGCCGCAACUGACGCUGGAGGAGCG